CCCUUAGAUGUUCUGGGCCGCGCGCGCGCUACACUGAACAGUUCAACAAGUCUUAACCUUGGCCGAUAGGUCUGGGUAAUCUUUGAACGCUGUUCGUGAUUGGGAUAGACCUUUGCAAUUAUGGGUCUUCAACGAGGAAUUCCUAGUAAACGCAAGUCAUCAGCUUGCAUUGAUUACGUCCCUGCCCUUUGUACACACCGCCCGUCGCACCUACCGAUUGAAUGGUCCGGUGAAAUCUCGGGACGGCGGCUUGGUCGCUUGCGUCCGACUGCUGAAACUUGAUUAAACCAUAUCAUUUAGAGGAAGGUGAAGUCGUAACA
rnacentral:rRNA from 1 species